CAGUCGCCGCGGUAAUACAGAGGGUGCGAGCGUUAAUCGGAUUUACUGGGCGUAAAGCGUGCGUAGGCGGUUAUAUAAGACAGAUGUGAAAUCCCCGGGCUCAACCUGGGAACUGCAUUUGUGACUGUAUAGCUAGAGUACGGCAGAGGGGGAUGGAAUUCCGCGUGUAGCAGUGAAAUGCGUAGAUAUGCGGAGGAACACCGAUGGCGAAGGCAAUCCCCUGGGCCUGUACUGACGCUCAUGCACGAAAGCGUGGGGAGCAAACAGGAUUAGAUACCCCAGUAGUCCCUGUCUCUUAUAU
rnacentral:rRNA from 1 species